AUGUCAGUAUUUUGUGCAUGGCCCCUUAAGCUCAUGUCUUCUAUUGCCGUUUGCAAACUAUCAUUUUCGGUCAGCUCAUAUCACUCUAUGCAUGCUAUCAAUUUUUCUUGCUUACUAAAUGGUAGUCUGGCCAUGACCUGUUUGUGUCAUCAAAGAAGGGAAUUUUCCUUCUUUUUUCUACUUUUCUCUUGUGUUUGUAAAAUAUAUUAUUUUUUGUUGUAUAUUACAGAAGGAUUGGGCAUGGAGGUUUCAGAUCCACAUGUGAGUGUUUAUGUAUAUAUUAUACGUACCUCUGUAUAUCUUUCCAAAUUCCAUCUUUUGGCAUUACCAUAUUUUUAA
rnacentral:rRNA from 1 species